UACGGGGGGGGCUAGCGUUGUUCGGAAUUACUGGGCGUAAAGGGCGCGUAGGCGGUCUGCUAAGUUGGAUGUGAAAACUCUGGGCUUAACCCAGAGCCUGCAUUCAAUACUGACAGGCUAGAGUUCUGGAGGGGAUAGCGGAAUUCCUGGUGUAGCGGUGAAAUGCGUAGAGAUGCGGAGGAACACCGAUGGCGAAGGCAGCCCCCUGGGCCAACACUGACGCUCAGGCACGAAAGCGUGGGGAGCAAACAGG
rnacentral:rRNA from 1 species